AACGAAGAAACCCAGUCUGGGGCGUCACCGUUCGGCUUUUGUGGGCAAGAAACUUCGAGAUCGGACCACCCAGUAGCUAGAUGUGGACUUUCGAGGCCUCGGACCCCGUUCCAAGUCCGGUCGUCCCUUUCUAGGCCAUUGUGCCUUUCUUCUGCGUUUUGGGACGGAACCAAGAAACCGAGUCUGGGGCGUCACCGUUCGGGUUUUGUGGGCAAGAAACUUCGACAUCGGACCACCCAGUAGCUAGAUGUGGACUUUCGAGGCCUCGGACCCCGUUCCAAGUCCGAUCGUCCCUUUCUAGGCCAUUGUGCCUUUCUUCGGCGUUUUGGGACGGAACCAAGGAACCGAGUCUAGGGCGUCACCGUUCGGCUUUUGUGGGCAAGAAACUUCGAGAUCGGACCACCCAGUAGCUAGAUGUGGACUUUUGACGCCUUGGACCCCGUUCCAAGUUCGGUCGUCCCUUUCUAGGCCACUGUGUCUUUCUUCAGCGUUCUGGCACGGAACGAAGGAACCGAGUCUGGGACGUCACCGUUCGGCUUUUGUGGGCAAGAAACUUCGAGACCGGACCACCCAGUAGCUAGAUGUGGACUUUCGAGGCCUCGGACCCGUUCCAAGUCCGGUCGUCCCUUCCUAGGCCAUUGUGCAUUUCUUCGGCGUUUUGGGACGGAACCAAGAAACCGAGUCUAGGCGUUACCGUUCGGUUUUUGUGGGCAAGAAACUUCGAGAUCGGACCACCCAGUAGCUAGAUGUCGACUUUCGAGGCCUCGAACCUCGUUCCAAGUCAGUUCGUCCCUUUCUAGGCCAUUGUGCCUUUCUUCGGCGUUUUUGGAUGGAACCAAGAAACCGAGUCUGGGGCGUCACCGUUCGGAUUUUGUGGGCAAGAAACUUCGACAUCGGACCACCCAGUAGCUAGAUGUGGACUUUCGAGGCCUCGGACCCCGUUCCAAGUCCGAUCGUCCCUUUCUAGGCCAUUGUGCCUUUCUUUGGCGUUUUGGGACGGAACCAAGAAACCGAGUCUGGGGCGUCACCGUUCGGCUUUUGUGGGCAAGAAACUUCGAGAUCGGACCACCC
rnacentral:lncRNA from 1 species